UUCUAUCUUCAAACAAGUGGACUUGUACAAACGAAAGAAUGGGCUCUUCUCAUCUUUCUCUUCAACACCAGUAGAGGACAGGAUGCAGAAGACCCAGUUACAUGUGCCUUGCCAAACAAGAUAUGCAGGUCAUCGAGGAACUUGGGUCCUUGUUUUCGAAACUUUAUAUGGUGGCAUUUGAUUCCUUUCUCACGAUUGUUGCAUUUCUACAAUUAGA